GAUGAACGCUGGCGGCGUGCCUAAUACAUGCAAGUCGAGCGGUAAGGCCUCUUCGGAGGUACACGAGCGGCGGACGGCUGAGUAACGCGUAGGAACAUACCCCAAAGUGAGGGAUAACUGCUCGAAAGAGUAGCUAAUACCGCAUGUGAUCUAAGGAUUAAAGCUUCGGCGCUUUGGGAAUGGCCUGCGUAUGAUUAGUUUGUUGGUGAGGUAAUGGCUCACCAAGACUACGAUCAUUAGCUGGUCUGAGAGGAUGAUCAGCCAGACUGGGACUGAGACACGGCCCAGACUCCUACGGGAGGCAGCAGUAGGGAAUUUUCCACAAUGGGCGAAAGCCUGAUGGAGCAACGCCGCGUGCAGGAUGAAGGCCCUCGGGUCGUAAACUGUCUUUUAUAUGUGAAGAUUAU
rnacentral:rRNA from 1 species